CCUCCGAUGUCUGCCGCCUGCUGUGACUCACAUAUAGGGAGAACAGCCAGGGGGGCUGUGAGUUUGAGACUGUAGUUAUUGUUUGUGAAGAACUGCCCAGAAGAGAUCGGCGGGAGCAAGCUGGGAAGCGUGUGGCCCAGUGCAGGCAGAAGUUUUAUGCUGGGAGGUGUGUGGCUCCACUGCUGGGGUAACCUCCAUCACCUCAAACACCAACUGCACAUCUACAAGAUAAAAACAAGGACACUAAGAGACAUGUUUGAUCCACAUGAAGACACAAACUGGAUCAUUAAGAAGGGGAGCAGAUCUGCUGGAGUCCACACUGCAAUGUUUCACUUCAACCACAAGAGGGCACAACAGGCUUUCUGACAGGCAACUAAAUACUUACCAUUGUUGACUUUAUAACACAAUCUAAUGAUUUAGAAGCACGUUUAAGGACAUUUAUAUAAAGAGUAAAUAAACUGAGUCUGCAGGCUGGUAUCCAGAGCCUGAGGUGUUUUGGCUGGACGGUGAGGGAAACCUCCUCUCUGCUGGACCUACAGAGACAGUCAGAGGUCCUGAUGACCUCUAUACUGUCAGCAGCAGAGUGACUGUGGAGAAGAGACACAGCAACAGCUUCACCUGUAGACUCCAGACCAGAGAGAGUCACAUGUUGCACCAUGCUGUUCUGGGAUUUAUAAUUUCAGUUUGUCUUCUCAGUCAUGUCGAGGUAUGUAAGAAGUGUCUUGGCUCCAGGAUUUGUUGGUCUGUUUUUUUUAUUUCAACAUACCAUCACUAUUUGUCUCUGUGAAGGAAGUUAGAGGUACUACGUCACAGGUUACCUCAGGUCAUGAUAGAAUCAAUUGCAGAGCUAACGCUAAGACAAAGGUGACAGCAAGGGACUCAAAUCAAUAGGUCAGACUCUCACUCCUCUCUGCCUGUUUGGUCGACUGACUGACGCAGCUGCCUUGAUAAGGAUUUAUUGCUAUCCAUUUGUUUAUUAACCCAAGGUCGAGGUUAACUUCAUUUUGUUUCAUUACAGACAAACUGACUGGCUCUCUUAUUUGAACACUUAGUGAAUCUCUAUGGGUCUAUGAAGGAUACAUAUCCCCAGACAGGAACUCAUGUUUUCACACUUAGUAUGCUGGGACUGUAUCUCCUCAGCCGAGUUUUGUUAAAUAAUACUGUAUAAGUCUU